GGCGCGGUGGCUGAGAGGUAAAGCGUUUGGCUUCCAACCUAGGUCCAUGGUUUGAAUCCUGGUGAAGCCU
rnacentral:tRNA from 1 species